CCUACGGGUGGCAGCAGUGGGGAAUAUUGCACAAUGGGGGAAACCCUGAUGCAGCGACGCCGCGUGAGUGAAGACGGAUUUCGGUAUGUAAAGCUCUAUCAGCAGGGAAGAAAAAGACGGUACCUGAUUAAGAAGGCCCGGCUAACUACGUGCCAGCAGCCGCGGUAAUACGUAGGGGGCAAGCGUUAUCCGGAUUUACUGGGUGUAAAGGGAGCGUAGGCGGGGGCGCAAGUCUGAAGUGAAAUGCCGGGGCUUAACCCCGGGACUGCAUUUGAAACUGUGCAGCUAGAGUGCAGGAGAGGUAAGUGGAAUUCCGAGUGUAGCGGUGAAAUGCGUAGAUAUUAGGAGGAACACCAGUGGCGAAGGCGGCUUACUGGACUGUAACUGACGUUGAGGCUCGAAAGCGUGGGGAGCAAACAGGAUUAGAUACCCGUGUAGUC
rnacentral:rRNA from 1 species